UCCUGGUUCGCUCAUUUGGUAGAGCACUCCACGGAAAAUGGAGAGGUCCCUGGUUCGAUACCAGGACCAGGCG
rnacentral:tRNA from 1 species